CGCGAGUGCAAAGAAGCGAGCGAGCGAGAGAAAAAGAAGCGAGCGACCGAGUAGCUGCGUAGCGAUGCCUGUGACCUAACCCGUCUCCCCCAGCGAACCCCGCCUCCUCUCCUGCCGCCGCCGCCGCGCCCCCUUCUUCCCUUCUCCAUGCUCGCCGCUGCCGACGCCGCGUCUGCCAGCCGCCCCGCCUCGAGCCAGCCGCCGUUCGGUAAAAACCUAACCUCCACACCCACGCCCCCACCAGUCCCUCCCUCCUCUUCCUCGACCUCCCUCCUAGCUGCCUCCGCCUCCCCUCCGCGGUCGACCUCCUCGUUGCCGGUGAUGCUCCAGCGCCUUGGCCCGGUCGUCUCUGUCUCUUGCCGUGCUCUCUCAUGCUGCUGUGCCUCCUGGACGACGCUCGCGUGCCUCGGAUGCACCCCCUUCUCUCCCGAGCUCCAGAUCCAUGGCUGCAGCGGCGAGAAAAGGAGUACCACCCCCAACCUCUGAUUGAUCUGGUAUAAUUUAUCAAAUUCCUCCAGAGUACAUUUAGGUUCAAAGCAAAUGUUGUAUAGCUCAAGAUAUUGUUCACUGAACUCUGAAGGAUUUACCAUCCACAGGCACAUCUUCCCAUACUCCAGCUUUAUCACUUUUUCUGCAAAGAGAUCUUGCGCCCAAUCAAAUAAAGUUCUCUAACCUUCAUAAUUGAUUUCCAGCAAGGGGAAUCAGUGACUCUUGUUUUAGUAGUAUUAAUAGUUUUGUUCUUGAAAUAUUUGGCUCUAACAACUUGUUGCCAUAGCCCCUCUUGAGUCUCAAGUUUCUUGCAGAAGGUCACCACAGGCACUGGGGUCGAUGCAAAGCAUCGGCGAUGGUGUCAUUGUCCUCGCGUGAUUCAUCAGAUCCAACCUCACCCCCGCGCCGGCUUUUGACGGAGCUGCUCACCAAGGAGGACCUCGUCGCCUACGUCGCAUCUGAGUGUAAGCCCAAGGAGAACUGGAGAUGAAAUUGCAACACCUGGUACCAAGACCAUGCUGGGAUUUUCUGAUCAUGUUAGGAGCUUUGUCAAUCCUGUAUGGACGACCUCUUUGAGUGGAAAUGAUUCGGAUACAACAUCACGGACAGGAAAACAGUUGGACAUCAGCCAUGAAAAGGUUCGAGGUAUUUCACGGAGUUUCCUACCAGCUAUUCAUCUAGAGCACUAUCCUUGUGAAAAUUUCUCAUUUUCUCCUCCAUCUAUUGAUAGGAGACGCACUCGACAAGGGUGUAAGUAGUCUCACCAGUCCAAUUCAGAGUUACAAGAAAGUUCUAAAUCUGAUAAUUUUAAACUUGUGUAGCAUGUCCUGUUUGUUAUGUGCCUGUUGACCAGGGCCUGGCAUUGAUGCCAGCUGCUCAUCUGUCCGAAGACAAUUUGGUACUCAUAGGUCCAAUAGUGGUUCUUUGUUUCGUGGUUAUCCAUCCCUGGAACAACGAGAUAUGUCUUAUAUGACAUAAAAGACUCGAUGACACUACAUUGUGGGUAUGUCCUUGUAUGACUCAAAUGAUUUAACUCUUGUACAUUUAUAUGAUCACUGUGUGUUGUAUCGCUAACCUUUUCUUUAUAUUAAGAUCUGUGAGGGGGGAAGAUACAUGGUCUCGAUACUGCAUUCGAUGUAGAUGAAGCUGGUCUGUCUGAGAUGCGGCAGUGCCAGGGGACAUUUGCUUCUGCUAUUUUCGGGAACUGCAUCCUCUUUUCUAUGCCAAUUAUAUUUGCAUGUUGUCAUGUUUCCAUGCCGGUGCUAAUUGCACAUCGUGUGUGAACUUUCUUAUUUGUUUUUCUCAGAGAAUUAUGAUAUAAUGCAACGACCAGAAAACAUCAAAACAUUUUCAAAAGAUAUUGUUUGCUUCUUCAUGUUUCUGGAUGAAGAAACUGAAGCUGCAAUAAAGAAGAUCCCUACUGUUGAUAAUACGAAAAGAAUCAGGCUGUGGCGGGUGGUUGUUGUGCACAACCUUUUCCUGACCCAACAACUUUCGUGAAAAUCAGCCUAAAAUCACUGUGCAGUUCAUUGUGAAGAAAAUAAAAAAAAAUACUACUGAACCGACAGAGUUUUGAAGCUGGCUUCGCCGCUGCUGUACUGUACAUUUGGUUAUUUGAUUUUCCUAAUUGAAUCUUUUUGGUGCCAGUUACUUCUGGCAUGGAGAUUGUGCACAAGUUAAAAUUCAGCUUAGCGGGCAAUGUAAACUAAAAUUUAGUUGCAAAAUAUAAUUUUACGCAAUCUUCUAAAAGCAACAUGCGCUCUUAUCUAGAUAGCUGAUCCAACAUGUUUUCAUUCUUUUCUGCAUUGGGUCAGUGUGAAAAGUUUCUUGACUCCACAACCAUCUUUCCGUUCUGUUGAAAGACGAGAGGAGUAUGCCAUGCUUAAUGUGAAUCAGCAUGAGCGAAUUGUUUUCCUAAUCACGUAUUUUCCUUGUGGUAAUUUUUUAAUUGAAAUGCCAUGCUUAAUGCGAAUCAGCAUGAGCGAAUUGUUUUCCUAAUUGUGUAUUUUCCUUGUUAUAAUUUUUUAACUGAAUCCCUUGUGAUAUUUAGGUUCCAAAACUAUUACUUCAUCGGCUCUUUCCUAAUGUGCGGUAUUCACUCUGUAUCGAUGGGAAACUUAAACUUGUGAAGGAUCCUUAUCAGCUGUUAAAGAGAUUCUUGUGGAGGAAAAAUGUGCGCUUCACUAUUUCCAGGUAUUAUAGACGCUUUGAUGUCUUUGAGGAAGCUGAGGCCAACAAGGCUGGAAGUAUGAUAAUGCUUCAAUCGAUAACCAAAUAAAGUUCUACAAGACAGAGGGUUAACCCAUUAUUCAUCAGCUAAGCUCCUUAUUACAAGCUGCAAAUGGUUCUUCUCGCUGAAUUCUGAUAUAGAAAUAUUUCUCCUGAGAACAUAAGGGAUACAUUUAUCUUGAACAGAUUCCCUGAGGGUUGUGUAAUUAUAGGAGAGCACAUACCAUCACCAAUCUCUUCACAUGCCUUUGGUUCUAUGAAGUUGAUCGUUCACCUCAAGAGAUCAGCUAAGCUUUAGCACAACGAGGGAUAAAAUAAGAUCAAGAGUUCUUGUUGACAACUAAAUAAGAUCAGGAGUUGAUUGGACUGCAGACAUGUUCCUGGAUUGUGGAAGGCGUGAAUUUGUUGUUCAGGUAUUUUUUGAGUUAAUGCUUUGUGCGGCACAUCAUUCCAUUUGCAACCUGAAGUACUAUUGCAACUUGGUACCGAGUGCAGACUUUGUCAAAUUACACACAAAAAAUUCCAGCAUAACAAUGGAUCUUCGCAUCUUCAUAGCGAGCUGUUUGAAAACAACAUCAGUGGACCGAUGAUUUUUUUUGGAAAGAACACAAUGUCAGGAUCUUUGACAUAAUAGAAUUUUGCUGGAGUUUGAGGCUAUACUAUUGAUGAGGUAUCCUGGAGAGCUGCAAGUUGCUUUUCUUGUUUUGAAUCAUGUUCUUGUUGUUUUCUCCUUGCUGAGAGUGUAUUAUGUGCGUAGUGUACUCAUCAUGAUCUCUGAAGCUAUGCUUACAGUUGCAUCAUUGUUUUCUUGAAAAUUGACCCUCUAAAUUCAUGUUCUCUUAUAACCGAUCCUGUAAAAUCUUCCUUGUAUUUUAAUGAAGUUUCACACCAUGCCCUUUGAGAUAACAAGUGGGACAUUACAAGGCUUA